GUGUCAGCAGCCGCGGUAAGACGAACCACACGAACGUUAUUCGGAAUUACUGGGCUUAAAGGGUGCGUAGGCUGUGCAGAAAGUUAGGUGUGAAAUCCCCCGGCUCAACCGGGGAAUUGCGCUUAAAACUACUGUGCUAGAGGAAUACAGAGGUAAGCGGAACUUCGGGUGGAGCGGUGAAAUGCGUUGAUAUCCGAAGGAACACCGGUGGCGAAAGCGGCUUACUGGGUAUUUUCUGACGCUGAUGCACGAAAGCUAGGGGAGCAAACGGGAUUAGAUACCCCGGUAGUCC
rnacentral:rRNA from 1 species